rnacentral:rRNA from 1 species
UUGAUUACGUCCCUGCCCUUUGUACACACCGCCCGUCGCUGCCCGGAACUGAGCCAUUUCGAGAAACUUGGGGACCGCUGACUUGGUGGCUCUCGGGUCACCUCGCUGGUGGAAACCAAUUUAAUCGCAGUGGCUUGAACCGGGCAAAAGUCGUAACAAGGUAGCUGUAGGUGAACCUGCUGCUGGAUCAUUACAUG